rnacentral:lncRNA from 1 species
GUGGAAGUAGCCAUCUCUUGUAAAAAUCUUGAUAUGUUUCACUUCGUUAUUGUACUUAAUGCUAAUCGCAUAUUCUCCUGACUCUUUAGUCCUGUGUCGCACCAGAUAAGUGCUAUUUACUCUGUUAAUAAGUUCACUCUCUGCUUGCAAUCUUUCCAUUGCUCCUGCAAACCACAGUUGUGACGAGUAGUCAACUGGUUUAGGAACACAAGGGCUGGGCUUCACUGCAUCACUUGGGAAGAAGCCAAGUUCUCCUGUCGUUAAAUUUCUGCCCUGCCAAAAUAAGCUAUGAACAUCGCCUGUAAUCAGUUCAAUAGUGUCCCCAAUCUGGAUAUGCAAAGGUGGACCAUCCUGUGGCGUUGGUUGUGGUAUUCCUUUGUAAUUUCGAAUUACUUGCAUUCUUGGUAAACCUGAAUUUAAGGAAAAAAGGAGAAAAAAAAUCAGCAUACGUAUUCCAAUUAACAAGAAUUUAUGAAAUCUUAGGACCAUAAAACCAAUUAAUCAAAAAGACACACUGCGUUUAAUAGGCAUCUGACUAAGGCAUAAAGGCAGACAUUUCUUUCAUUUGGUUGUCUUAUGUAAACAUAUCACAAAAUCUGAACAUUUCUC